rnacentral:rRNA from 1 species
AUUGAACGCUGGCGGAAUGCUUUACACAUGCAAGUCGAGCGGCAGCGCGGGGCAACCUGGCGGCGAGCGGCGAACAGGUGAGUAACACAUCGGAACGUGCCCAGACGUGGGGGAUAACUACUCGAAAGAGUAGCUAAUACCGCAUACGAUCUAAGGAUGAAAGCGGGGGAUCGCAAGACCUCGCGCGUUUGGAGCGGCCGAUGGCAGAUGAGGUAGUUGGUGGGGUAAAGGCUUGCCAAGCCUGCGAUCGGUAGCUGGUCUGAGAGGACGACCAGCCACACUGGGACUGGGGAACGGCCCAGACUCCUACGGGGGGCAGCAGUGGGGAAUUUUGGACAAUGGGCGAAAGCCUGAUCCAGCCAUUCCGCGUGCAGGAUGAAGGCCCUCGGGUUGUAAACUGCUUUUGUACAGAACGAAAAAGCUCUGGUUAAUACCUGGAGUCCAUGACGGUACUGUAAGAAUAAGCACCGGCUAACUACGUGCCAGCAGCCGCCGUAAAAC